rnacentral:lncRNA from 1 species
UUUUUCAGAAGUUGAGAGCUGAAUCGGACUGUAGCAGGGCCAGAAAGUCUGUUGAAGUUGCAGAAUUUUAUUUGUAUUUUUGUUGGGUCAUUUGUAGUGGGCUGGGUCGACCCAGUUGAGUUGUAAAACGGGAAAAUCACGGUUCAUGUACGAAUUUGAGAGCUUGCAAAGAAUGACUAUGGUGAACUAAUUUCCCAAGAAUCAAUUCACUGUAAUCGGAUGCCACUUUGAGGUUCUUUUAUAAUUUUCCAUUAAUUUGUUCCUUUGAAUUAUAUCUAUAAUCACAAUUACUUGCUUAAUUUAAUUGUUUUUACAUGAUAGAAUUCUUUAAUUUGAUUGUUG